GCUGGGAAGGCCAAACAGCACGCUGCUGGCCUCCUGUGUCACAACACGACAGGUGGCAUCACAUUGGGGAAGCACAUCCAGUGAGGGGCCGAAUGGUGAGAGAGUAAGCAAGAAAGGACUGAGAAGCCUGGGUGGCCACGACGCAGUCACUUCCCACGAGGCCCCACCUCUUCACAUCCCACCAUCUUUCGAUACCAUUGCACGGAAGACCAAGCUCCCAAUAGAUGAGCCCCCGAGUUAUGAUUCACAUCCAAUCCACAGUACCCACUGCCUCACAAUUUUCACAACCCUCCUCUACUGAGAUCCAUCUCUAAUGCAACUUCAUUCAUUCUAUCAAUAAAAGUUCUUUGAGCACCUGCUACAUGUCAGGCAUAAUGCCAGAUCCUGAGAACACAAAGGUGACCAAACUAGACAUGAUCCUUGCCCUGGCCUUUUAAAACUCUCUUGGGAGAAAAAGAC
rnacentral:lncRNA from 1 species